rnacentral:misc_RNA from 1 species
GAAAUGCGAUAAGUAGUGUGAAUUGCAGAAUUCAGUGAAUCAUCGAAUCUUUGAACGCACAUUGCGCCCCUCGGUAUUCCGUGGGGCAUGCCUGUUCGAGCGUCAUCUACACCCUCAGGACCCCCCUUUCGCGGGGAGGGACCUGGCGUUGGGGAUCGGCCCGCCCCCCGUGGCGGCGCCGUCCCCGAAAUCUAGUGGCGGUCUCGCUGCAGCCUCCCCUGCGUAGUAGUUACAACCUCGCAUCGGAGCGCGGCGCGGCCACGCCGUAAAACCCCCGACUUUCUGAACGUUGACCUCGGAUCAGGUAGGAAUACCCGCUGAACUUAAGC